rnacentral:lncRNA from 1 species
GCUAGUUCAGGUUGCUAAGUUGAGUUCUGGAGGAAGCUGGCUUUGUGGAAAACAGUUUGGCUUUAGCAGACAGGACAGUGGCCGUACUCAAGACUGGCAGGAGAAUGGUUAAGAACCUGCUUAGCAAUGAAGGCAGUGACUGCACUAACAUGUGAGAAAGAAGACAGAGAUGGGAAAGCAGCAGCAGGACUCGCUGGCCUUAGUUUAAAAGGCCCCAGAAAGCAACACUGAUGGCUGAACAAAGGCAGCACUGUACCCUGAGCCCAGCACAAGCCUUCGCUCUCUGUCCUGCAACUCCUCAGCUGGCCCGGCCUCUACACAUCUAUUUCUCAUUGAUACGGAUGCACUUUUACUGCCACUGCCUUCUCUGAGAUUCCAAACAGACCUGCAAACCUCCCUUGCCUGCUCUAACGAUACCGACCUACCUGCCUUUGGAGAAGGGGCCCUAGGGACCAGCAAACUCAAUUCAGAAAGGGCCAGAGAGCAGAUAUUUUGGUCUCUAUGGGUAGUAUAGUUUUACAAUGCACUCUUGGGUUUUUCUUUGUAAAAUACAUUUUAUUGUUAAAUUGACCAUUUAUAGUCAUAGACUUAUGGGGUUCCGAGUGACGUCAUGGUUUAUGAAUACAAUGUGGAAUAAGUAGAUCAGAUAAAUUAAUAUCACCCCAAAUACUUAAUCCUUAUUUGUAGUAAGAAAAUUUGAAUUUUACUGUCAGAAAAUUUGAAAUGCACAACCCUCUAAAAACGUAAAAUCACCAUGCCUUUAAUACCAGUACUUGGAAGGCAGGGGCAGCAGCAAAUGGAUCUCUGUGAGUUAGAGGCCAUUCUGGUCUAUAGAGCAGGCCAGCCAGGACUACACAAAGAAACCCUGUCUUGAUAAAACCAACCAACCAACCAACCAAACAAACAAAAAAGUAAAAAUUACUCCCAGUAAAAGCAUAGCAAAACCACCAUGGCUUGGAG